rnacentral:rRNA from 1 species
GACGAACGCUGGCGGCGUGCUUAACACAUGCAAGUCGAACGGAAAGGCCCUGCUUUUGUGGGGUGCUCGAGUGGCGAACGGGUGAGUAACACGUGAGUAACCUGCCCUUGACUUUGGGAUAACUUCAGGUAACUGGGGCUAAUACCGGAUAGGAGCUCCUGCUGCAUGGUGGGGGUUGGAAAGUUUCGGCGGUUGGGGAUGGACUCGCGGCUUAUCAGCUUGUUGGUGGGGUAGUGGCUUACCAAGGCUUUGACGGGUAGCCGGCCUGAGAGGGUGACCGGCCACAUUGGGACUGAGAUACGGCCCAGACUCCUACGGGAGGCAGCAGUGGGGAAUAUUGCACAAUGGGCGGAAGCCUGAUGCAGCAACGCCGCGUGCGGGAUGACGGCCUUCGGCUUGUAAACCGCUUUCGCCUGUGACGAAGCGUGAGUGACGGUAAUGGGUAAAGAAGCACCGGCUAACUACGUG